rnacentral:tRNA from 1 species
CCGCGAGUGACGUAAUCGGGUAGCCGUAAAAGACUUAAAAUCUUUUGACCAUAGGUCGUGUGGGUUCGAGUCCCACCUCGCGGA